rnacentral:rRNA from 1 species
UAGUGGCGGACGGGUGAGUAUCGCGUGGGUAACCUGCCCAUAGGUGGGGAAUAACAGUUGGAAACGACUGCUAAUACCGCAUAAGCUGAGCAAUCAGUAAAGGAGGCUAACGCUUCCGCUUAUGGAUGGGCCCGCGUCUGAUUAGCUAGUUGGUGGGGUAAUGGCCUACCAAGGCAACGAUCAGUAGCCGGCCUGAGAGGGUGGACGGCCACACUGGGACUGAGACACGGCCCAGACUCCUACGGGAGGCAGCAGUGGGGAAUAUUGCGCAGUGGGGGAAACCCUGACGCAGCGACGCCGCGUGAGCGAAGAAGGCCUUAGGGUCGUAAAGCUCUGUUUUAAGGGACGAAUAUCCUCAGUAGUAACUGACUGGGGAAUGACGGUACCUUAAGAGAAAGCCCCGGCUAACUACGUGCCAGCAGCCGCGGUAAGACGUAGGGGGCGAGCGUUGUCCGGAAUUACUGGGCGUAAAGAGCACGUAGGCGGGAUUUUAAGUCAGGUGUGAAAGACCGUGGCUCAACCACGGGGUUGCACAUGAAACUGGAAUUCUUGAGGGCAGGAGAGGAAAGUGGAAUUCCUGGUGUAGCGGUGAAAUGCGUAGAAAUCAGGAGGAACACCGGUGGCGAAGGCGACUUUCUGGACUGACCCUGACGCUGAGGUGCGAAAGCGUGGGUAGCAAACAGGAUUAGAUACCCUGGUAGUCCACGCUGUAAACGAUGGAUAAUAGGUGUGAGAGGUAUCGACCCCUUCCGUCCCGCAGCAAACGCAAUAAGUUUCCCCCCGGGGGGUACGGUGCCAGGGUGAAACUCAAGGAAAUACGGGGGGCCCGCCACAGCCGUGGAGCAUGGGGUUAAUUUGAGGCACCGCGAGGACCCCUUCCAGGUCCUGACAUCCAAGAAUCCUGAUGAAGUCGGGAGUGCUUUAGGAGCUUUGAGACAGGUGGUGCAUGGUUGUCAUCAGCUCGUGUCGUGAGAUGUUGGGUUAAGUCCCGCAACGAGCGCAACCCUUGCUAUUAGUUGCUAACAUUCAGUUGAGCACUCUAAUGGGACUGCCCGUGACAAGCGGGAGGAAGGUGGGGAUGACGUCAAAUCAUCAUGCCCUUUAUGAUCUGGGCUACACACGUGCUACAAUGGAUGGUACAGAGAGCAGCGAGACAGUGAUGUGGAGCGAAUCUCAAAAAGCCAUUCUCAGUUCGGAUUGCAGGCUGCAACUCGCCUGCAUGAAGUCGGAAUCGCUAGUAAUCGCGGAUCAGCAUGUCGCGGUGAAUGCGUUCCCGGGCCUUGCACACACCGCCCGUCA